rnacentral:rRNA from 1 species
GACGAACGCUGGCGGCGUGCUUAACACAUGCAAGUGGAGCGACGAACCAGGCUUCGGCCUGGGGCAGAGCCGCGAACGGGUGAGUAACACGUGGGUAACCUGCCUCGAUGACCGGGACAACCCGGGGGAAACCCGGGCUAAUACCGGAUGUGCUGCCCUCACAUCAGUGAGGGUUGAAAGGAGCUUCGGCCUCCGCAUCGAGAUGGGCCCGCGGCCCAUUAGCUUGUUGGUGAGGAAAGGCUCACCAAGGCUGCGAUGGGUAGCUGGUCUGAGAGGACGAUCAGCCACACUGGGACUGAGACACGG